CCUACGGGUGGCAGCAGUGGGGAAUAUUGGACAAUGGGGGCAACCCUGAUCCAGCCAUGCCGCGUGUGUGAAGAAGGCCCUCGGGUUGUAAAGCACUUUCAGUGAGGAAGAACGCCUGGUGGUUAAUACCCAUCAGGAAAGACAUCACUCACAGAAGAAGCACCGGCUAACUCCGUGCCAGCAGCCGCGGUAAUACGGAGGGUGCGAGCGUUAAUCGGAAUUACUGGGCGUAAAGCGCGCGUAGGUGGCUUGAUAAGCCGGUUGUGAAAGCCCCGGGCUCAACCUGGGAACGGCAUCCGGAACUGUCAAGCUAGAGUGCAGGAGAGGAAGGUAGAAUUCCCGGUGUAGCGGUGAAAUGCGUAGAGAUCGGGAGGAAUACCAGUGGCGAAGGCGGCCUUCUGGACUGACACUGACACUGAGGUGCGAAAGCGUGGGUAGCAAACAGGAUUAGAUACCCUAGUAGUC
rnacentral:rRNA from 1 species